UCUUAAAGGAAGCAGAAUGUCAUAGUAUAUCAUCAUACAGGCUUCAAACAACCUGUCCUAGAAAAGCUAUUUUCUGCAAGAAUACACAAUGCAACAAACUAUUUAAUCAAUGUGGAUACCAAUCAAAUGUCUAAGGAAAGGUGAUAGUUAAUAGGAAAGGAACUCAUUAGAGCGAACUCUUAACACCUUAGACUCGUUAAUAAGAGAGUCUUAAAUCUCACAAUUUUGGAAAUAAAUUUUGCUUGUUUUAUUGAAUAAAAUUAAAACUCUUAUAUAGUGGAGGUUUAUACAGUCCUAAUACUAAUACUUUCUAAUUAGAGUAGAAAUCUAAUACAAGCAACUAAUAGAUAAAGAAAUAAGAUAACAUAAAUCUAAUAAUAAACACGUAAAAUAAGAUAUUAGAGAUAAGAUAAUAAAUAAAUAUAAUCUGUUUGUUAUGGAUGUUAUGAAUUUAAUCUAUCGGUUAUCUAUAACAUUAUUUUCCUCCUAAAAAGAGAGUUUGUCCAGUCGUCCUCAAGCUCAAAGGUAGAAUAUGUCGGGUGUCUAAACCAAAACCAAUAACUCUAUGUCCCUUUUCAUCACAUGAGAGAAAGUCAACUUUGGUAUUUUGGGGCACUACAGGUACCUCUGUCCUCUCAUUCACUUAUUGAGCAAAAUUUUAUUGGCUGCAUGUGAUUCAUAUUGUUGUAUGAAGGAAUUCAAUUUUCUCUUGUAGAUUUGUUGAAUCACCCAUGACAACCGGCUUUUCUUCUGCCUUUUUUAUCAAGGUUAAAUGCUUAGCUAAAAUUUCAAGUAAAGCUCAUAUCUCUUUUUGUUCAUAACAUUGUUGUUACUAGAUUGAUCUCCCAUGACGUUUUGCUCUGAUACCAAGUUGUUACGGUACUGGAAAGGAGCUCAUUAGGGAGCUCUUAACAACUCGUUAACGAGAGAAUCUUAAAUCUCACAAUUUUGAGAAUAAAUUCUGCUUGUUUUAUUGAAUAAAAUUAAACCUCUUAUAGUGGAGGUUCAUACAAUCCUAAUACUUUUUAAUUAGAGUAAAAGUCUAAUACAAGUAACUAAUAGACAAAGAACUCCUGAGAUAAGAUAACAGAAAUCUAAUAAUAAACGCAUAAGAUAAGAUACUAGAGAUAAAAUAAUAGAUAAAUAUAAUCUGUUUGUUA
rnacentral:lncRNA from 1 species